UCCUACGGGAGGCAGCAGUGAGGAAUAUUGGUCAAUGGGCGCUAGCCUGAACCAGCCAAGUAGCGUGCAGGACGACUGCCCUAUGGGUUGUAAACUGCUUUUAUGCGGGAAUAAAGUGCACCACGUGUGGUGUUUUGUAUGUACCGCAUGAAUAAGGACCGGCUAAUUCCGUGCCAGCAGCCGCGGUAAUACGGAAGGUCCGGGCGUUAUCCGGAUUUAUUGGGUUUAAAGGGAGCGCAGGCGGGAUUUUAAGCGUGACGUGAAAUGUACCGGCUCAACCGGUGAACUGCGUCGCGAACUGGGAUUCUUGAGUGAGUGCGACGUCAGCGGAAUUCGUGGUGUAGCGGUGAAAUGCUUAGAUAUCACGAAGAACCCCGAUUGCGAAGGCAGCUGACGAGUCCUUUACUGACGCUAAAGCUCGAAAGUGCGGGUAUCGAACAGGAUUAGAUACCCUGGUAGUCC
rnacentral:rRNA from 1 species